AGUUGAAUGAAGAGUCCAAAACAGGAAGAAAUGCACAUCCCAGAU
rnacentral:hammerhead_ribozyme from 1 species